ACCUGCCCAGUGACACUCCGUUAAACGGCCGCGGUAUUUUGACCGUGCUAAGGUAGCGCAAUCACUUGUCUUUUAAAUGAAGACCCGUAUGAAUGGUUUCACGAGGGCUUAGCUGUCUCCCGCCUCCGGUCAAUGAAAUUGAUCUCCCCGUGCAGAAGCGGGGAUACUUACAUAAGACGAGAAGACCCCGUGGAGCUUUAAAAUAUUGCUUACUACAAGUCAAUCAAGCUAUAAAACUAUAAACUUAUUGAACCCUAUGCAAUUUUUUGGUUGGGGCGACCCUGGGGAACACCUAACCCCCAUGUGGACUGGGAGCACCUUAUUAAUUAGACCUCCCCUCCUAAAACCCAGAAAGCCAUUUCUAAUUGACAGAACCUCUGACCCUCCGGACCCGGCACAGCCGACCAACGAACCUAGUUACCCCAGGGAUAACAGCGCAAUCCCCUCCUAGAGCCCUUAUCGCCGAGGGGGUUUACGACCUCGAUGUUGGAUCAGGACAUCCUAAUGAUGCAGCCGUC
rnacentral:rRNA from 1 species